rnacentral:rRNA from 1 species
UACGUAGGGGGCAAGCGUUGUCCGGAUUCAUUGGGCGUAAAGAGCGUGUAGGCGGCCAGGUAGGUCGGUUGUGAAAACUGGAGGCUCAACCUUCAGAGGUCGACCGAAACCAUCUGGCUAGAGUCCGGGAGAGGAGAGUGGAAUUCCUGGUGUAGCGGUGAAAUGCGCAGAUAUCAGGAAGAACACCCGUGGCGUAAGCGGCUCUCUGGAACGGUACUGACGCUGAGACGCGAAAGCGUGGGGAGCGAACAGG